ensembl:lncRNA
UCUAGGAAAGGGAGAGGAGAAAGUUCUAUUUGGACUUGAGAUUGUAGUGGGAGUUUUAAUGAAGUGGAUGCGGAAGGGUGAAUUCCUGUCGUGUUCUUUUGGACACACUUGCUGAAAAGUGAGGAAGGAGAAUCACAGAUGAUUGAGGUGCUCCAGGACCUUAAUCAUCUUUCUGGCCCAGACUGGACUGUCCUAGUGUCACUGAGUGAAGCACUGAUAUUCUUUAUUUGAAUAUAAUCUUUUAUAAUCUUAGACACUGUUCAAUUGAGGGGAGAGUAAAGCAUGAGCAAUUGAAAAAAUAUAUGCCUGGACUUCAAAAUUAAAUCUGAAAACUGUAAUUCUUCAGAUGGGGAUCAUGUAACUAUCAAGUCUGCAUUUCUGCUCUGCUGAGAAGACCUUUGUACCUAUGAAGAGCCUGCAAAGCCUAAUGAGAAGAUAGAUCUAGGGAUUCAAGCUUGGGAACUGGAUAAAAACAGUUAUAGAGACGGUGAUGUUUCAGAGUCUAGCAUUUCUGUUACAAAGACUCACAGUAAGUACAAAGUCAGGUCAUUUCAUACCACAGGGCCUUUCUACUUAUGCUUCUUUACUGUUGUGCUGGACAGCAACGAGGAGCAAAACAUCUUUUGAAAUUCUUCUUGGGAUUGGAUACCUCUAUGGAUAAAAGAGGAAGUCUUUUUGUGUUACUUCUUAUUCAGUGCCAGUGCAGUACUGGAGAAGUAGAAAAGAUCAAGCAGAUUGAAAGCAUUGCUUUAAAUCCUUCUUUUAUCCAUUAGUUGAUGAAAACUGAAGGAUGUCAGGAUUCUGGCAUCGCUGCUGUACUUUUCUUCUGAAUGCAACCGUAUGGAAUGGAGGAAGGAGUGCUGAUAUUGCAAGAAAAUUCCCUAAUGUUUUCAUAGCUUAUACAAAAUGUGAUCUUCCUUUUGGCAGACUUCACUUGGUUGAAUCCCUACCAAUGCAGAAGGUGAAUAAGAAUACCUGGACUCAAUCUGUAAUUCAAUUCUGGAUCCUAUUUCCUAGUUUCACCUGUGCAUGUAUGCUUCUGUCUCUGUGUUUAUGAAUAAUAUCUAUCAGUUCUCUCCAUCAUCCUGGUUGAGAGAGUGAGUGAGUGGGCAGCUGGGUGGAGGGCUUACCUGUCUGCCAGGGACAACCCAACCACAUGGAAGAAGAAACUAUAAGAAUGCAGUAUAAAUGGUUAAAAGCCUUUUAUUUCUGUUUUCUGGUAUUAUUUCAGUUGUUUCUGUGAAUUUGCUUACUGUGCUUUUCUGUACCUUAAGGUUGUUGGCUGGGCUUACUGUUGUCUUUAUAAAACUUAUGUUGUACCACACAAAGAUAAACAGAAGUAGAACAAAUUAGCUGUUGUAGACAUCUUGUCUGUUAGAAAUACUGUUACUAGAGCUAAACCAAGUGGGGAAAAGAACACUACAAAAAAAAAAAAAAAUUGAGGAAAGUUCACAUAGGUGUCCUGACACCUCUAAAUUCAUUGCUAAGCUUAUUAUGACCCAGUAGUAGUCAGAACUGUCCUAUAUGUCUGCAUUUUUACUACAGGAAAGAGACAAGGAAGAUAAGAGGCCCAUUUGGAAAGUUUUUCUAAGAAGCAGACAAAAUUUAGAGUAAGCAGACUGGAAGGAAGGUCUGAAUUUCUAUGAUUUUGUAUUUCUGUGCCAUAAGCAAGGAAAUUAAUAGCAACUUUGGAGCAAAUACAGUUACAAGAAAAGUAACGCAGUAACUGUUGUUUCCAUGAUAGAAAAGAAGGAGCAAAAAAAAAUCUCAACUGAAGGGGCAUUUUUCCUGUUCAGACAAAAAUAAUCUUCACCAAGUAGGAGUACAAAUUGCAUUUAACCAAAACAAUGUAUAAAUAUUAUUCUAACCAUGUGGAUAAAAGGCUGCAUAAUCCACAAUUGCAAUUAGUAUUUUGUUUACGACAGCAUUAACCUUUCUGAAACUAAAACUUUACAGUUAGGGUGAACAGGAAAGCAAAGAUAUUGGGAUACUUCGCUAGAUUGGAGCAAUAUGAAGUCAUGAGUUUCAAGGAUUUUGUCAUAUCUCUAUGGAUUUACAGUGGCACAUGUCUUUUUUUUCCUAAGGCAAGCUAGAUUUAAGAAUUCAUGAGCUAUUUUUUUAUUUAGAACUCAGAUUUUAAGGAAUAAUCUCUGUUAAUGGUAUGUGUGAAUGUGUAGUCAUUUUUACAGCUUAAAUAUGCAGUUCAUUCAAGUUGGAUGAAAAUAAGUCUCUUGCAUUUACUUGCAGAUAAAUUCAUGGG